AUCACUUCCAACAGGAAUAAUUGCCCCCUUCUCUGCAUCCAAGUUUGUAUGAUGAGGCUCAUCCUUGUCAGAUACACUCUGUUUAUGAUCAGGGUAGAUAGCUGCAAAAGAUUGCCGACUUGGUCGCUUCCAAACCCAAUGAAUCACAGAGGACCUUUUCGCGGGAAAUUUAUCAGGUGCCACUAAGUUCUGAAGAAACACUCGUCGAAGCAGUGUCCAGCGAGACUUUGACUCCCGGACUUCAAUAGGCUUAACAGGCACCAAAGCCAUGUAAUUGUUCUCUGUUGUACAAGAGUUUUCUUCCACAACUUUCCUAGGCAUUGAGCUCAGAGGACUUUUGUUCAGAGUCUUCCUCCUCUUGAAUCUUGAUCUGGGCAUAUCUGAGUCACUAGAUUCAUCUCCAUCCAAAGCACUAGCUUCCCUCUGAUAAACAAUCUUGCCAUUGUCAACAGCAAUAACAGAGAUGUUCUUUGUCAGUUUUCUAGCACAGUAUUUUGCAAGUGACACUGAUGACCGAAUGGCAUGAUGGCUGCCUGAAGUCCCAAUAAUCAAAUUUAUAGCACUUUCCAAUUUCGCCUCGCGAGCAAGAACUUUACGAACUGGUGAUCCUCGACAGACUUUAAGCUUCAAAUGCACCUGCUUUAAAUUGCAGAAGCCCUCAUAAGCAGACAGCAUCGAGUCAAAUGACUUCACCAGUGAAAGAGGUUCUGAUUUAUCAGAAUUUGGAUCGAUAACAUGUACAGCCACUACAUGAUCUCCAGUCUGAGCAACCUUAACCAAAGCCCAAGUAAGCAACUCUUUACUUCUGGAAUCUAACUUCACUCCCACCACUGCCACCACCCUUCCACCCACAUCUCCGGCGCCG
rnacentral:misc_RNA from 1 species